rnacentral:rRNA from 1 species
GAUGAACGCUGGCGGCGUGCCUAAUACAUGCAAGUCGAGCGAAUGGAUUAAGAGCUUGCUCUUAUGAAGUUAGCGGCGGACGGGUGAGUAACACGUGGGUAACCUGCCCAUAAGACUGGAUAACUCCGGGAAACCGGGGCUAAUACCGGAUAACAUUUUGAACCGCAGGGUUCGAAAUUGAAAGGCGGCUUCGGCUGUCACUUAUGGAUGGACCCGCGUCGCAUUAGGUAGUUGGUGAGGUAACGGCUCACCAAGGCAACGAUGCGUAGCCGACCUGAGAGGGUGAUCGGCCACACUGGGACUGAGACACGGCCCAGACUCCUGCGGGAGGCAGCAGUAGGGAAUCUUCCGCAUUGGACGAAAGUCUGACGGAGCAACGCCGCGUGAGUGAUGAAGGCUUUCGGGUCGUAAAACUCUGUUGUUAGGGAAGAACAAGUGCUAGUUGAAUAAGCUGGCACCUUGACGGUACCUAACCAGAAAGCCACGGCUAACUACGUGCCAGCCGCCGCAGUAA